rnacentral:rRNA from 1 species
GAUGAACGCUAGCGGCAGGCUUAACACAUGCAAGUCGAGGGGCAGCACGGACUUCGGUCUGGUGGCGACCGGCAAACGGGUGCGGAACACGUACACAAUCUACCUUUAUCUGGGGUAUAGCCCGAAGAAAUUCGGAUUAAUCCCCCAUAAUAUAUUAGAGUGGCAUCACUUCGAUAUUAAAACUCCGGUGGAUAAAGAUGAGUGUGCGUCCCAUUAGCUAGUUGGUAGGGUAACGGCCUACCAAGGCAACGAUGGGUAGCUGGUGUGAGAGCACGACCAGCCACACGGGCACUGAGACACGGGCCCGACUCCUACGGGAGGCAGCAGUGAGGAAUAUUGUUCAAUGGACUCAAGUCUGAACCAGCCAUGCCGCGUGAAGGAUGAAGGCCUUCUUGGUUGUAAACUUCUUUUAUUGGGGAAGAAAAUUACGGUUUCUACUGUAACCGACGGUACCCAAGGAAUAAGCACCGGCUAACUCCGUGCCAGCAGCCGCCGUAA